UGGGGAAUUUUGGACAAUGGGCGAAAGCCUGAUCCAGCAAUGCCGCGUGUGUGAAGAAGGCCUUCGGGUUGUAAAGCACUUUUGUCCGGAAAGAAAUCCUUGGCUCUAAUACAGUCGGGGGAUGACGGUACCGGAAGAAUAAGCACCGGCUAACUACGUGCCAGCAGCCGCGGUAAUACGUAGGGUGCAAGCGUUAAUCGGAAUUACUGGGCGUAAAGCGUGCGCAGGCGGUUUGCUAAGACCGAUGUGAAAUCCCCGGGCUCAACCUGGGAACUGCAUUGGUGACUGGCAGGCUAGAGUAUGGCAGAGGGGGGUAGAAUUCCACGUGUAGCAGUGAAAUGCGUAGAGAUGUGGAGGAAUACCGAUGGCGAAGGCAGCCCCCUGGGCCAAUACUGACGCUCAUGCACGAAAGCGUGGGGAGCAAACAGGAUUAGAUACCCUGGUAGUCCACGCCCUAAACGAUGUCAACUAGUUGUUGGGGAUUCAUUUCCUUAGUAACGUAGCUAACGCGUGAAGUUAACCGCCUGGGGAGUACGGUCGCAAGAUUAAAACUCAAAGGAAUUGACGGGGUCAUAGCUG
rnacentral:rRNA from 1 species